UACGUAGGGGGCAAGCGUUGUCCGGAAUCAUUGGGCGUAAAGCGCGCGUAGGCGGCUAGAUCAGUCUGCUGUAAAAGUCAAAGGCUCAACCUUUGAAAGCCGGUGGAUACUGUCUAGCUAGAGUCCGGAAGAGGCGAGUGGAAUUCCUGGUGUAGCGGUGGAAUGCGCAGAUAUCGGGAGGAACACCAGUGGCGAAGGCGGCACUCUGGGCCAGUACUGACACUGAGGAGCGAAAGCGUGGGGAGCGAACAGG
rnacentral:rRNA from 1 species